rnacentral:rRNA from 1 species
GACGUAGGUGGCGAACGUUAUCCGGAAUUAUUGGGCGUAAAGGGUGCGUAGGUGGCGCCGUAAGUCGGGUGUGAAAUUUCGGAGCUUAACUCCGAAACUGCAUUCGAUACUGCGGUGCUUGAGGACUGGAGAGGAGACUGGAAUUCAUGGUGUAGCAGUGAAAUGCGUAGAGAUCAUGAGGAAGACCAGUGGCGAAGGCGGGUCUCUGGACAGUUCCUGACACUGAGGCACGAAGGCCAGGGGAGCAAACGGG